GUGAACACCUUGAAAUUUUGUUUUGAAUUAUAUUUCAAAUGCAUUGUGGCAGCUGCGUAGCAGGUGGUCUAAUUUGCUGUUUAGACAUUAAUUUUCUUGUGUUCAAAUGAGUGAUGGGCUCUGCUUUUUAAAACGUUGUAUGCUUUUUUAUAAAAUUUUUGUGAAUAGAAAUUUUACUUACACAAAUUAAGCUAAAAAAAAACUAAUUUCAAUCUGUUAAUUUGCGUAAGUAGAGUGCGCCAACCCUAAACUGAUAUGUAUUGUGAACAGAGCUUAAAUAUUUACAUAGUGGUGCGUUCAUUUUAUAACAUAAUUAUAAUGUAGUAAUUUUAUAUUUCAUUGCCAAGUGUCAAAGUGCUUGUAGAAAAUCAGCAAGCCAUUGCGAGCACUGCUGAAAUUAAAGGCGGCUAUUAAACACAUUUAAAGCUUCACGGAAAUCGAAAGAAACACGAGCAAGACAAUUUUCAAAUUUUAAACACUUUUGCGAAACGCGAACCGCAAACUGUAACCGCCGCGAAAGAACACAAACUGAAAGCAACUAAUUUUGGCAGUUACGCUAUGACCAACGAAACAUUUAACAAACGCUGCCGCGAGCAAAAAACAAUGGAGAAUAUAAACAAAAAAAUGACACGAAUCGUAGCAACAAAAAUUAAAAAGUAAUAAUACAACAACUCUGGAAACUAGUAAAAUGAAAAUAAACUUUUACACAAAACAUUAAAAAUACUGAGCGCAAUCGGCGAAAGACAAGUGGCGGCGCACGAAGAUGAAUAGCAAGCAUUAACAAAUAAAUAAAGCAACAAAGCAAUAUAACUGGAAGCGGUGAAUUAAUGAAAAAAUCGCAACGAAUUAUAAAAUGAAAAAAACAAAAAAAAAAUAAAUAAAAAUAGUAGCGUUGGGUGCAGGGAGUAGAAUAAACCAGCGUGUAGUGUAAAAAGUAAAAAAAAUUAAAUUUAACGGCAAAAUAAAAGCUUUUCGCACACAAAGUAAGCCACGCACAGAAAAAAAACAAGAAAUCAAGAAAACUUGAUGUACAAGCAAAAAAAAAGUGUAAUUAACGAUUUGUUUGGCACCAUGUUGCAAAAAAUAUGAACUACAAGCUUGCAAAAAACAAAAAGAAAAAUAUAACAAAUAAAAUCGUAUAUGUUAACAAAUUCAAAAUUAAUGCUUAAGCCGGCAUAAUGGCGGCGACAACGUGACUGGCACCGGCGUGCGUUUAUUGCGCGAGUUCAAUAAACCGUUACAAAGCAAUUUAUUUUGCUUGCAUACAAGCAAACAUAGUAUGCAGUGUAUGAUUUAAUAAUUAACUCGGUCUGCACAGCGUAAGAUCAGCACAAAUUGCAUGUUUUAUGAUAAGCCUAACCUAAACACCUACCCAAUUAACCAAAAGUCACACAAUGUAUGUAUGAGCAUAAUAAAUAUUGAGGAAAGUUUCAAGCGCGCAUUAACAUUACCAUUAAUGGACAGCCCUAAUGUGUUUUUACUAAAGAAAAGAUAUUCUAGUCUUGAAAUAAAAAAAAAACGAUUUUUGUUUUAUUUACAAAGUUUAACUGUUCAAAAAUAUGUCUAACAAACAAGCGGAUUUUUUAAAUUCAAUUAACAAUCAUCACUUACUGUAAAUCUACAUUAUUUAUUAAAUAAAAUGUCUCUUGAAAAUAUUACAAUAAAUACAUUUUUUUUGGAUUGCAGUGUAUAUAAUCACUUAAAUUAUGCUAAUCAUAUAUUUUUGCCACUCGUUCAGUGAUGUCUUACCAAGCAACUUGAUUUCCUUUAUUUUCACAACUUUUUGCGUUCAUUAAUUCAUGCCGUGAAUUUGUUCUGCUAUUUAAACAAGUUGAUUCACGCUUAGUUUGCGCUUUUAAACCAUUUAAACGCAAGAAGCAAUAAUCGAUUUUGCUAAUUAUUUGAAAACUUAAGCAACUUACGAGGCGAUACCCUUACGAUAAUGCUUACAGUAAUACUUUAAUACAAUCACAAAGGAAUAUAUAAUUAUGCGAAUUCAGUAUUUUAUGCGGCCAAGCAGAAAUUUAUAAUUUGUUACACGUUUUUCUUGGCUAACUACGCAUUUACCAACACAGCUUAAUUUCUGUAAGAAUUUACGCUUACAAAGCGUUUGUUUCCACUCCAAUACCAUUGGAUGCCGCGUGCUACAUGUGGCGACCUCAAUUCGUAACAAGAAAAGAGCAAACGCGGCUGUUUUGAUGUGGAAUCGCUGGUUUUACACGAUAGUGGAGCGCAGAAAAGGACGGCAUAAAUACAAUACAAUAGGUAGCAUCCGUAUGUAUGUAUGCCAGCAUCAAAUAAUUGAACCAAAUCAAAUUAAUCAAUGGAACUAAUUUUAUUUUAUGCUCGCAGCACUUUGCGCUAACAUUUUAUUGUAACUUCAUUUCAUUUAUAGUUGAUACUUUCAAUGUAUUUCCUUUUUUAAUGACAGUUAACAGUUUGACUUAAUAGAUUUGAGCUCGCCUUUGUUUACAAACAAAACAGCAAAGAGAGAUAGUGGACAGUUUGAGAGCGUUUGGACAUACAUUGUGUUUUAUCGACUGUAAUGUUGACUGCUUUUUCAUUUUUAAAGGAAAAUUGUUUAUUGCUAAAGAUGUUUUGUUAUCAUAAUAAACUAGUAAAAUUAUUAUUUUAUUUUAUUAAAAAAAAAUUAAAUAGAAAGUAGAGCGUAAGCAGUAUAAAAAAAUUUUCAAACACAAGUGUAGCUCAAACAGCUGGCACACCAUAAAUUUCAGAGCUACAUGCAGGUAUUGACAAAGCAAUAUCAAAAGUGGUUACGCGUGCCUUGGAAUCGUGCGUGCUCAUAAGAGUCUUGCAAGCAGAAGGAAAUACGAAUGGAUUGGAGUGAAGGUGAAUAAAAAAUGUAAAGGUAAAUUUGUGCCUGCGGCAAGUAACCGCAAUAAUGAUCAAUGGCAUUGACUUCGGAAGAUAUAAAUGUAUAUAAUAUAUACCAACAAGAGUGUGGGCAAAGAGUGCUGCGCGAGGAAACGGAAUAUCAGCAGGAAGCAUAUGAAAAUAUUCGCAACUGCACACUGGCAUAAAAAUGAGUUCAUUGCAUAUUUUAUGUGUGUGGCAGCUGUGAGGUGAAGAAGUACAAAUAACAUAUAAGCAAUAUUUACAUAUUAAGUUUACAUAAAAAUAAUAUAAUUUGAAGUCAGCAAAUAAAUUAUAAUUUUUUAGUUAGAAAAGUUAAAUAAUCAUAUGAAAGAGAAGAAGUAAACAAAGCUUCAAUUUGUUCAUUUAUGUAUUUGCAAAUUUGUGCACGGAAAUGGAAAAGGCAUGUCAGGAAUCACUAGAGACCAGCAGUUGACAACAGCGUUUAAAAAGGAAAACAAUAUGUAAUUACCAUACUUUUUUAAGGUGAUACGCAAGACGUGUUUAAAACAAAUGAAUACAAGAAAAAAAGCACCGAAGCUACAAGCACUUGAUUUGGAUCGAUAUGUUUGAAUGGCAGCUAACAAGGUCUAAAUUUUUGCCGAACAAUUUGUAAGGCAGCUAUAUGCUGUAAUGGACUUAACUGAAUAAUUCAUUUGGAUAUGGCAGCCUUGCCUUGUACAAUAAUCCUUGCCGAAUAGCGACGUGAAGAUAAUUUGUCAAAUAAAAAAGUUUUUCAUACAAAAACUUGAUUUUUAAACGUCACUUUAUAUGACAGCUAUAUGCUAUGAUGGACCAAUAUUGGCGAUUUCAGAUGAGCAGCUGGAAAGAAGAACGUGUGACAAACUUAAUAUACCCUAUUCAGGGUAUAAUUACUGUCGUAAACGCCCACCAAAAAGUUGUGUAAAUAAAGGCGGUUGUCAGUUUGACGUCAAAAAUGAUUCCUUCCAUAGACUUGCAUUUGUUUUUGUUUUAAUAAACAUCACUGCUU